GGCUCGUCCAAGUGCAGGGGUGUUUACAACUAAUUGAUCACAACCAGUUACAGAUUCCUUUGUUCCUUCUCCACUCCCACUGCUUCACUGUACUAGCCUUAA
rnacentral:Y_RNA from 1 species